rnacentral:misc_RNA from 1 species
GUUUAGGUGAUCAAGAUCAAAGCAUGUAGUGGAUGUCAACACAAAGUCAUGAUUCAAACAUCGAAAUGUUUGCGUAACGCAAUUCAUAAAUGGAAAUGCGUGAUUAGUAAACGAAAAAUGACUCUUUAGAAAGUUUUCGUCAAAACUAAACCUUUAAAAACAAUUUAAACCAUCGUUGAAAACAAAACCGGCUUUUUGCGUACUGUCAGCUGUUGAUGCAGUGAUGGAGACAGGAUCGUUACAUCAUGUCGAAAUAGGAACAACAAACGGACCUGCUAUUGUAGCUUUAUUCAAAGAAUAUAUGGAUUCAAAUGUAUUGCGCAGCGAUCGCGAGCUUAUUGUGAGCAAUGGGUUGUAAAGGCCGGGAAAGCCGCGAUUCUGGUAACAGAACCAAAAUGUCACCUUGAAAAGAAUGAUGAGAAUAAGGAUACCCACAACGAUCCGCUGUUUAACAAAUGGUGGAGUUCUAGUAGCAACAAACCCCUUGAUGGUGACUCUGUGUUUAACAUCGCUCUUAAGGUGACAGAUUUGCAGAAAGUUAUUAACAAUGUGAUAGAAGGGGGAGGGGAGGUAGUUACAUCACCCGUCAGUAUUAAAGAUGAGCAUGGACAGGUAGAUAUAGCUGUCGUUAAAUCUUGUAUUGGAAAUGUAUAUCAUACACUGCUUUGUUACGAUGGUUAUGCUGGUAAUUUUCUGCCUGGAUUUACAACUGCUGAAAACAAUUUUAUUGAAACCAAUAUAAACUGUGGUCUAGUGACCCACAUAGAUCAUAUUGCCUUUGUCUGUGAUCAAGGAUCCACCCCUCAAGUAUUGAAGUGGUAUGAAAAAUGCUUCCGCAUGAAGAGGUUUUUUAUCAACAGCAAUGAGGAUGAAGAUGAUGGAUUUUUGAUAAGUGAUACAGGUAUAGGAAUGAGAAUGAAAGCCAUGGAGUACUGGAAGUGUUCCGAGACAGGGCUUACAUCAGGGAAUAGUCAGGAAUCCAUUAGAUUUGUCCUUGUUGAGUCUCUAAAAGGUCAAGGUGCAAACCAAGUGGACAUAUUCCUAGAGGACCAUGGUGGCCCCGGGGUGCAGCAUAUGGGACUCUAUACACCAGAUAUUAUGUCAACUGUCGCCACCUUCAAACAAAGUGGUGCCCAAUUUGUUGAAACACCACAAGCUUAUUAUGAAGAUGAUCAGAAACUCUCAGAGAUGAAGAAGGUUGGAUUUAAUGUGGAAGAUCUUAUGUCCUGUGGAGUAUUACUGGACACUGAAGCAGAUGUUGAGGAGGACUCCAAAAACCAGUGUGAAAACCAUAGAUACUUACUCCAAAAAUUUACCAAGCCAAUCUUCAGUAAAAGAACAUUUUUUUUGGAACUGAUUCAGAGAGUUGGUGCCCAGGGCUUUGGUGCUGGGAAUAUCACGGCCCUGUGGAGGGCAGUCCAGGCGUAUCUUACCCAGAACACAAAACCCAGCUCUUGAUGUUACCCAGACAUAAACAACCAUUUAUUUAUGUGAUGUAAAAUAUGGAGUAAAAAUAAAUGUUUCUGCUGUCUCAGCCUUAUGUUACCAAU